GCUUCCGUAGCUCAGUGGCAGAGCGUCAGUCUUGGAAACUGAAGGUGUGCAGUUCGAUUCUGCACGGUUGCA